rnacentral:rRNA from 1 species
ACUCCUACGGGAGGCAGCAGUGGGGAAUAUUGCACAAUGGGGGAAACCCUGAUGCAGCGACGCAGCGUGCGGGAUGACGGCCUUCGGGUUGUAAACCGCUUUCAGCAGGGAAGAAGCCGUAAGGUGACGGUACCUGCAGAAGAAGUACCGGCUAACUACGUGCCAGCAGCCGCGGUAAUACGUAGGGUACGAGCGUUGUCCGGAAUUAUUGGGCGUAAAGAGCUCGUAGGUGGUUGGUCACGUCUGCUGUGGAAACGCAACGCUUAACGUUGGGCGGGCAGUGGGUACGGGCUGACUAGAGUGCAGUAGGGGAGUCUGGAAUUCCUGGUGUAGCGGUGAAAUGCGCAGAUAUCAGGAGGAACACCGGUGGCGAAGGCGGGACUCUGGGCUGUGACUGACACUGAGGAGCGAAAGCAUGGGGAGCGAACAGGAUUAGAUACCCUGGUAGUCCAUGCCGUAAACGUUGGGCACUAGGUGUGGGGGACAUUCCACGUUUUCCGCGCCGUAGCUAACGCAUUAAGUGCCCCGCCUGGGGAGUACGGUCGCAAGGCUAAAACUCAAAGGAAUUGACGG